UGGGGAAUAUUGCACAAUGGGCGCAAGCCUGAUGCAGCCAUGCCGCGUGUGUGAAGAAGGCCUUCGGGUUGUAAAGCACUUUCAGCGAGGAGGAAGGUGGUGAACUUAAUACGUUCAUCAAUUGACGUUACUCGCAGAAGAAGCACCGGCUAACUCCGUGCCAGCAGCCGCGGUAAUACGGAGGGUGCAAGCGUUAAUCGGAAUUACUGGGCGUAAAGCGCACGCAGGCGGUUUGUUAAGUCAGAUGUGAAAAUCCCCGGGCUCAACCUGGGAACUGCAUUUGAAACUGGCAAGCUAGAGUCUCGUAGAGGGGGGUAGAAUUCCAGGUGUAGCGGUGAAAUGCGUAGAGAUCUGGAGGAAUACCGGUGGCGAAGGCGGCCCCCUGGACGAAGACUGACGCUCAGGUGCGAAAGCGUGGGGAGCAAACAGAUUAGAUACCCUGGUAGUCCACGCUGUAAACGAUGUCGAUUUGGAGGUUGUG
rnacentral:rRNA from 1 species